AUUGAACGCUGGCGGCAGGCCUAACACCUGCAAGUCGAGCGGGGCGGCGGACGGGUGAGUAAUGUCUGGGAAUCUGCCUGCUGGAGGGGGAUAACGUCCGGAAACGGGCGCUAAUACCGGAUACUAUCAGAUGAGCCUCGGUCGGAUUAGCUAGUUGGUGGGGUAACGGCCUACCAAGGCGACGAUCCGUAACUGGUCUGAGAGGAUGAACAGCCACACUGGAACUGAGACACGGUCCAUACUCCUACGGGAGGCAGCAGUGGGGAAUAUUGGACAAUGGGCGAAAGCCUGAUCCAGCCAUGCCGCGUGUGUGAAGAAGGUCUUCGGAUUGUAAAGCACUUUAAGUUGGGAGGCGUUACCAACAGAAUAAGCACCGGCUAACUUCGUGCCAGCAGCCGCGGUAAUAC
rnacentral:rRNA from 1 species